rnacentral:rRNA from 1 species
UACGAAAGGGGUGCAAACGUUGCUCGGAAUCAUUGGGCGUAAAGCGCACGUAGGCGGCCCGAUAAGUCGGAUGUGAAAUCCCUCGGCUCAACCGAGGACGUGCAUUCGAAACUGUCGGGCUCGAGUAUGGAAGAGGGUCGCGGAAUUCCCGGUGUAGAGGUGAAAUUCGUAGAUAUCGGGAGAACACCAGUGGCGAAGGCGGCUCACUGGUCCGGUACUGACGCUGAGGUGCGAAAGCGUGGGGGAGCAAACAGG